rnacentral:rRNA from 1 species
AGUGAACGCUGGCGGUAGGCCUAACACAUGCAAGUCGAACGGCAGCACAGUAAGAGCUCGCUCUUACGGGUGGCGAGUGGCGGACGGGUGAGGAAUACAUCGGAAUCUACUUUUUCGUGGGGGAUAACGUAGGGAAACUUACGCUAAUACCGCAUACGACCUACGGGUGAAAGCAGGGGAUCUUCGGACCUUGCGCGAUUGAAUGAGCCGAUGUCGGAUUAGCUAGGUGGCGGGGUAAAGGCCCACCAAGGCGACGAUCCGUAGCUGGUCUGAGAGGAUGAUCAGCCACACUGGAACUGAGACACAGUCCACACUCCGACGGGAGGCAGCAGUGGGGAAUAUUGGGCAAUGGGGGCAAGCCUGAUCCAGCCAUACCGCGUGGGUGAAGAAGGCCUUCGGGUUGUAAAGCCCUUUUGUUGGGAAAGAAAAGCAGCAGGUUAAUACCCCGCUGUUCUGACGGUACCCGAAGAAUAAGCACCGGCUAACUUCGUG